GUCCACGCCGUAAACGAUGAAUGCUAGCCGUCGGUGGGCAUGCCCUUCGGUGGCGCAGCUAACGCAAUAAGCAUUCCGCCUGGGGAGUACGAUCGCAAGAUUAAAACUCAAAGGAAUUGACGGGGGCCCGCACAAGCGGUGGAGCAUGUGGUUCAAUUCGACGCAACGCGAAGAACCUUACCAGGCCUUGACAUCCCGGUCGCGGCCUCCUGAAAGGGAGGCCUUCAGUUCGGCUGGACCGGUGACAGGUGCUGCAUGGCUGUCGU
rnacentral:rRNA from 1 species